rnacentral:lncRNA from 1 species
AUGUGGGACUCUGACCAGCAACAUCCAGCAAGACUCAGGCAGCGUUUUCUAUCUCCCAGCUGGAGUUUUUUGUUUGUCUGUGACUGCAGAGUCAGAUCUUUGUUGAGCUUCACACUUGCAGAGGUUAAUACACUCUACUGAUCCCUGAUGGGAGAAUCAUCACCUCUGCCAGCAAAGAAGCCUGGUGGAUGUUUGUUUACAGUCUGAUGAUGCGACAUCAUGCUCUGCAUCUUCAAAGUUUGUGUCAAUGGAAAAUUGUACUUAGUAGUCAGUAUAAGCUUUUAAUGAUAUAAGUUUACAUGUGACAGAUUACUGCAUGAUGACCUUUUCCUUGCUUAGAACUGAUUGUUCUUUAUAAAACGUGUUCUGAUAUUUUUAUCUGAAUCUUCCCACAGCGAUAGUAAGAAGCUGAACAAGCAGCUCUGACCUCGCACACACACACACACACACACACACAUACACACAUACACACAUGCUCACGUAUCAACAUUCCACUGAACAAAUGUUUUCAUUUUUCUUGUGUAUAAAUAAAGACAAGUGCAAGAACAGAGCGCGCUCUUCACAGGGCCCCACUCUGAUGUGAGCGCUCUGUGAAAACAAGUCAAAUCUGCAGCGUGUGUGUCUUCACUCUCUGACUCUCAGCUGAAGAAGUGUCUUUUAGAAUAAAUCUUGACAGGAUAUGAUGUGAAGUUAUAUAUUUUGUUCAUAUUGUGAAUGCUCCUGCAUAACAAUGGGAGGUGUACUAACUUUGUCUUAUUUAAAGGUUGCAUGAAAAUAGCAGUUCAGGGCAGAACUAGGCUAGCUUGCCUCUCUGUGGUGAAUACACAGUAAAGAACACAGUGUUGGACUGGUGCACAGCGACUGAGGUGUUCAUCGUCAGAGUUGGGUUACAUCAAGCGUUCCAGAGAUUUAAGUUGGUGCUGAAGGAUGUUACACACUGUGUUAUUUUACUAAUCAGAACUUGCCAUGUAGCCUAUAUACACACCAAAUGUGUUACAUUUUUGCAA